rnacentral:lncRNA from 1 species
GUGAAGCACCAACUUGAGUUGUCAUAGAUCUUUAGCUCUUUGAUGGUUAAAUCAAAAUAGGACUAGAGCACCGAGCUCUGAUACCACUUGUUGCCCAGCUAUACAACUCAAGAGGGAGGGUGAAUUAGAUUUUUAAAAUUUUAAAAUUAAUUUAAAACCACAAGGAUUAAGUAAUAAUAAGCAAGUUAUGUGUAGUAAGUGAUUUAAGCUAGGUGUAGAAAUGAGAUACAAGAAUGCAAAAAAAUAAGGAGAUUUAGAUAGAGAGCAAGUAAGCACACCACAAAC